AUGAUGCAGUGACGCCCUCUUGUGUUUCCUCUGUGCAGGUACAGAGCGCUCACAUUCAUCCUCACCUUCCUGCUCUACACCAGCUUCCACCUCUCCAGGAAACCCAUUAGCAUCGUCAAGAGCGAGCUCCAUAAGAACUGCUCCUCUGUCAGUGAGAUCGCCACCUUAGCCUCCAGCAGCGGCAGCCCGCAGCCCCCUCCGCAUUCCAUCCACACAGACAUGGACUGUAGCUGGAAGCCUUUCG